CAGUUCAACGAGAGGCGUGAAUGCGUAUAGAUGUGUAAAAAUGGAGGACGAAAAACUAAUAGAAUGUGUACCGUAGAAGAUUACCCCAAUUUAA